rnacentral:lncRNA from 1 species
AGCAAUAUCAGCAGAACCCACAUCCCCAAUACCCUUCCACUACAUAAGAUAGAGCAUAAUCCAAUGCAGGGCAAGUUAAUUAAGCUAACAAUAACAGCAGAAUGGAAAGUCUCUAGGAAACGAAGGCUAAAAUAACCAAAUGAUCAACAACAAAUAACAAAAAAAUGACGAAAAAAAAACAAAAGAAAGGGCACAUCACCGUGAAGUUAUAGAGAAUAUGGCGAGAGAAAAGGAUACGUACCACGCAAAGCUAAGGGUUAUGUCUCUGCAGAUCUGAAACAGAACACGAACGAGUCAGUGAGUGAGUGACAGUUUUUCCCUACCCCUACCAAGAGUAAUUCUCCAAAUACCUGAGUAACGGUUUUCUCAUGCUACUCCAAUGCCUUUAAGAUAGGAACAAUUCCUGAUAUGAAAAGGAAGAAAACAACCAAAGAACAAAACCCACAGAAGAAAAUAGCAAGUUCAGAAUGAAGAUAUAUUAGAGAUCACGGCUAGAACAAAUAAGUAGAAAGGAAACUCAUAAAAAUUAGGUUAUCCCAAGUUGUAAGUCGUUCUAAUCUUAUGAUUUUUAAUACUCAGUCGGAAAAUUCUGAGAAGGAACGAAUGCUUUAAUUUUCAGAAAUAAAUAACAAUUCCAACAAGAAUGAUCAAUCCAAAGGUUUGGAAAACUAAUAAAAGAGCCAAAGACCUAUAUUAGAGGCUUAUACGAGAAGGCAUGAAAAUUGAGUAGUGAACUUUUCAAACCAAGAAGCAAACCAUCAAAUCAAAGAUUAAAAGCCAACCGCACUUGUCCCAUGCUCAUCCCACAAAUAGCAUCCUAUGAACCAUACACCAGCAAAAUACAACCAGGAUUAUAAUCAAACCAUCAAAGAAAUAUUUAGCUUCACAAAUAACAGAAAUUCCACAAUUCAAUCUUUGGAGAUCAAGUAGAGAAAAUAAUUUAAACAUCGAACACCAUUCAAUCCAACAUUUGAGACGAAUCUCAUCGAGAAAUUAGGAUAUCCUGGGAGUUGCAGCCAUUUUAAACUCUUUAGGAUUUAGGGUCAGAAACUCGAAUUGAUGAACUGUGGUCACAACCCUUCUCAUUCGUGCAGCUACUCCCGCAACACCAUCUACGCGGAUCAAAUAAUGUCGUCUAGUGUCUUCAAAUUCGAGAGGCAACAAAAUUGGAUCCAAUUUGGCACUGAUUCCCCGAAGAUAGUGUUGAAAAAGAAGCCACACAAAUGAAGCCAGGCCAUACCCCUGGUGGUCACAAAAAUCACCCAUGAAGAAAAACAGUGUCGCCAUUAGAGGAUUAUCCGAGAAGGCAUUAAAGUUUGAGUAGAAAACUUUUCAAACCAAUAAGCAAACCAUCAAAUCAAAGGGUAAAAGCCAACCGCACUUGUCCCAUGCUCAUCCCACAAAAUGCGUC